rnacentral:rRNA from 1 species
GCACAAGCGGUGGAGCAUGUGGUUCAAUUCGAAGCAACGCGAAGAACCUUACCAGCCCUUGACAUCCCGGUCGCGGAGAGCAGAAACGCACUCCUUCAGUUCGGCUGGACCGGAGACAGGUGCUGCAUGGCUGUCGUCAGCUCGUGUCGUGAGAUGUUGGGUUAAGUCCCGCAACGAGCGCAACCCUCGGCCUUAGUUGCCAUCAUUUAGUUGGGCACUCUAAGGCAACUGCCGGUGAUAAGCCGGAGGAAGGUGGGGAUGACGUCAAGUCCUCAUGGCCCUUACGGGCUGGGCUACACACGUGCUACAAUGGCGGUGACAGAGGGACGCAAAAGGGCAACCUUUCGCAAAUCUCAAAAAACCGUCUCAGUUCGGAUUGGGGUCUGCAACUCGACCCCAUGAAGUUGGAAUCGCUAGUAAUCGCAGAUCAGCACGCUGCGGUGAAUACGUUCCCGGGC